rnacentral:sRNA from 1 species
AUUUAUCAAAUUUUUAGACAAUUCUAACUAUUAAAGUGAUAUAUACCAUUCACGGAAGGAGUAUAAUAAAAUGCUUAAUCAAUAUACUGAACAUCAACCGACAACUUCAAAUAUUAUUAUUUUAUUAUACUCUUUAGGACUUAAAGCGUUUAGUAAAUAUUUACUAAACGCUUUAAGUCCUAUUUCUGUUUGAAUGGGACUUGUAAA